rnacentral:lncRNA from 1 species
CACCGAAAAACCCCUCCAACAACUGUAUUGAAGGUUUAGGAGAUUCGGUGGCAAAAUCACACCGCCUGACUUUCAGAGAGAAUGAAUCGAUUGGAAUCGAGAUCUCAUCCAAACUCAAACCAUCAAACGUAAUCACUCAUGUUAGCAUCAAGUGACUAACCAAGAGGACCCGAAACCGAAACCAAAAACAUACCCCAAGAACUUCACAUCACGAC